GUGUCUGCCAGGAACUGGAAGAGCAAGUUGCUGAGCACAGGCAUUCCUGUUCUUCAGUUAUAGUUUUUGGCUCUUCCUUUCGACCACCGAUCUGUGACUCUCCUCACACUUCUCCAUGAAGUAGAGGCUGGAAGCAACAGCAGAGCAUCACAGACAAGUCACGAAGCUCCUUUCCUGGAGAAGCCAGCACUGGCCUGAAUGGCUGGCUUUUCAGGUGCUCCAACAAAGUAUAAGUAUAAGGCUCCCACCAGAGUCCUUAAAGAAGAAAGAUUUCCAGGGAGACAGCUAUAAUGGAAGUUGACCAAACAGUGCAGUGCAAAUUAUGAUAAAGAAGAACUUUUAUACUCAUCUACUGAGCAGUCCAUCAGACUCCAGGUUUGGUCAGUCCCAAGUGCUAAAUGAAGAAAAGCGUGUGCCUGGUGCGCAGCUGUAGCUGUGUGAAGAGCUGUUCAUCUCUAACCCUACUGGGACUGGGGAGAUUGGCAGCCCAUUUCUUUUCAUUCUGAUGCUCUAGCCAUCUCAAGCUUUCGCAACUGAAUGAUGUAGGGACCCAGCUACAGAUAUUUCCCUCAA